CGGACGGGUGAGUAACGCGUGGGUAACCUGCCUUGUACUGGGGGACGAACAGUUGGAAACGACUGCUAAUACCGCAUAAGCGCACAGCUUCGCAUGAAGCAGUGUGAAAAACUCCGGUGGUACAAGAUGGACCCGCGUCUGAUUAGCUGGUUGGUGAGGUAACGGCCCACCAAGGCAACGAUCAGUAGCCGGCCUGAGAGGGUGAACGGCCACAUUGGGACUGAGACACGGCCCAA
rnacentral:rRNA from 1 species